rnacentral:rRNA from 1 species
AGAGGGCGUGAAACCGCUUAGAAGGAAACGAGAGGCGCCGCAUUUUCCAUCGAGAUUCACCUGCUGUUCGUUGCCAUCGGCUUCGACAUCAGGGCAUUUCUCGUUGGUACGCACCGGAAGCUGUGCUAAUCAUGGAAACGGUCCAGUAGGAGAAGUGCACUUAUAUGUGCUGUCUUCCUUCGGGUUUGUGCCAUUUUUUAGUACAGUUCUCAGGACGCUCAUUAGUGUUCAGUAGCAGUCGGGCAUUCAAAAUCACUACCGGCUCCGGCCAUUUGUCGGACGGGAGUAAUUACUGAUUGUAAUGACUGUUUUAUUGAGACUGUGUCGUUUCGGUGUGAACUUCGGCUAACCUCCCGACCCGUCUUGAAACACGGACCAAGGAGUCUAACAUGUGCGCAAGUCACUGGGUCUGUAAAACCUAUAGGCGCAAUGAAAGUAUAGGCCGGCUUGAUCGGCUGACACACGAUCCGUACGGUCUUGACUGUGCGGCGCAGUGUGGUCCCGUCUUUGGUGCUUGUCACUGAGGCGGAGAUUGAGCGUACAUGUUGGGACCCGAAAGAUG